UACGGGGGGGGCAAGCGUUGUUCGGAAUUACUGGGCGUAAAGGGCUCGUAGGCGGCCAACUAAGUCAUACGUGAAAUCCCUCGGCUUAACCGGGGAACUGCGUCUGAUACUGGAUGGCUUGAGUUCGGGAGAGGGAUGCGGAAUUCCAGGUGUAGCGGUGAAAUGCGUAGAUAUCUGGAGGAACACCGGUGGCGAAGGCGGCAUCCUGGACCGAUACUGACGCUGAUGAGCGAAAGCGUGGGGAGCAAACAGG
rnacentral:rRNA from 1 species